UGGGGAAUAUUGCACAAUGGGCGCAAGCCUGAUGCAGCCAUGCCGCGUGUAUGAAGAAGGCCUUCGGGUUGUAAAGUACUUUCAGCGGGGAGGGAGGGAGUAAAGUUAAUACCUUUGCUCAUUGACGUUACCCGCAGAAGAAGCACCGGCUAACUCCGUGCCAGCAGCCGCGGUAAUACGGAGGGUGCAAGCGUUAAUCGGAAUUACUGGGCGUAAAGCGCACGCAGGCGGUUUGUUAAGUCAGAUGUGAAAUCCCCGGGCUCAACCUGGGAACUGCAUCUGAUACUGGCAAGCUUGAGUCUCGUAGAGGGGGGUAGAAUUCCAGGUGUAGCGGUGAAAUGCGUAGAGAUCUGGAGGAAUACCGGUGGCGAAGGCGGCCCCCUGGACGAAGACUGACGCUCAGGUGCGAAAGCGUGGGGAGCAAACAGG
rnacentral:rRNA from 1 species